AGAUUGAACGCUGGCGGCAGGCCUAACACAUGCAAGUCGAGCGGCAGCACGGGUACUUGUACCUGGUGGCGAGCGGCGGACGGGUGAGUAAUGCCUAGGAAUCUGCCUGGUAGUGGGGGAUAACGCUCGGAAACGGCGCUAAUACCGCAUACGUCCUACGGGAGAAAGCAGGGGACCUUCGGGCCUUGCGCUAUCAGAUGAGCCUAGGUCGGAUUAGCUAGUUGGUGAGGUAAUGGCUCACCAAGGCGACGAUCCGUAACUGGUCUGAGAGGAUGAUCAGUCACACUGGAACUGAGACACGGUCCAGACUCCGUACGGGAGGCAGCAGUGGGGAAUAUUGGGACAAGUGGGACGAAAGCCUGAUCCAAGCCAUGCCGCGUGUGUGAAGAGGUCUUCGGAUUGUAAAGCUACUUUAAGUUGGGAGAAGGCUAGGUUACCUAAGUACGUAUUCUAGUUUGACGUUACGACAGAAUAAGCACCGCUAACU
rnacentral:rRNA from 1 species